UACGGAGGAUGCAAGCGUUAUCCGGAUUUAUUGGGUUUAAAGGGUGCGUAGGCGGUCAUAUAAGUUGGAGGUGAAACCCGCGGGCUCAACCUGCGGCCUGCCUCCAAAACUGUGUGACUGGAAUGCGGGUGCCGUGGCAGGAAUGAGUAGUGUAGCGGUGAAAUGCAUAGAUAUUACUCAGAACACCGAUUGCGAAGGCAUGUCACGAACCCGUAAUUGACGCUGAGGCACGAAAGCGUGGGGAUCAAAC
rnacentral:rRNA from 1 species